GACGAACGCUGGCGGCGUGCUUAACACAUGCAAGUCGAGCGGUAAGGCCCUUUCGGGGGUACACGAGCGGCGAACGGGUGAGUAACACGUGGGUGACCUGCCCUCAGCUCUGGGAUAAGCCUGGGAAACCGGGUCUAAUACUGGAUAUGACUCCAUGACGCAUGUUGGUGGGGUGGAAAGCCUUGUGCGGCUGAGGAUGGGCCCGCGGCCUAUCAGCUUGUUGGNGGGGUGAGGCCUACCAAGGCGACGACGGGUAGCCGGCCUGAGAGGGCGACCGGCCACACUGGGACUGAGACACGGCCCAGACUCCUACGGGAGGCAGCAGUGGGGAAUCUUGCGCAAUGGGCGAAAGCCUGACGCAGCGACGCCGCGU
rnacentral:rRNA from 1 species